AUGAACCUGAAAAAUUCUACAGGCUGGGAAGAAUCAUCACAUAGCCAUGGCAAUGGAAGAGUGUCUCUUUGGAACCUCAUAUGGAAAGCACACAUCCCCCACAAGAUCAGAAUUUUUGCUUGGAGAACUGCUACUGAUUCCUUACCAACAAAAGAAAACAAAUUGAAGCAGACUUUGGAACACCAUAGUAUUUGCAAUAUUUGUGGUAGGGAGCCUGAGGAUGCAUACCAUGCUACUGUUCGCUGUACUAAAGCUAGAGCUAUCAGAGAAGCUAUGAGGAAAGUUUGGCCUUUGCCAAAAGAAGAAUGCUUCGAUCGUUCAGGACCCGAUUGGUUGCUGAUGUUACUUAGCCAAUGUGAUAACACCUCCAAAGAGAGAAUCUUGUUGUUGUUAUGGAGAGCCUGGUACUUACGUGAUGAUAUAAUGCAUCAUAAAGGUACUGCUUCCGUUGCCGAAUCUGUCAUCUUCUUGUCUAAUUAU
rnacentral:rRNA from 1 species